GCUGGGCAUGGUGGCGAAUGCCUGUAAUUCCAGCGGCUUGGGAGGCUGAGACAGGAGGAUUGUGAGUUCAAAACCAGCCUCAGCUAUGGCACUUAGCAACUCAGAGAGACCCUGUCUCUA
rnacentral:sRNA from 1 species